rnacentral:rRNA from 1 species
GAUGAACGCUGGCGGCGUGCCUAAUACAUGCAAGUCGAGCGAAUGGAUUAAGAGCUUGCUCUUAUGAAGUUAGCGGCGGACGGGUGAGUAACACGUGGGUAACCUGCCCAUAAGACUGGGAUAACUCCGGGAAACCGGGGCUAAUACCGGAUAACAUUUUGAACCGCAUGGUUCGAAAUUGAAAGGCGGCUUCGGCUGUCACUUAUGGAUGGACCCGCGCCGCAUUAGCUAGUUGGUGAGGGAACGGCUCACCAAGGCAACGAUGCGUAGCCGACCUGAGAGGGUGAUCGGCCACACUGGGACUGAGACACGGCCCAGACUCCUACGGGAGGCAGCAGUAGGGAAUCUUCCGCAAUGGACGAAAGUCUGACGGAGCAACGCCGCGUGAGUGAUGAAGGCUUUCGGGUCGUAAAACUCUGUUGUUAGGGAAGAACAAGUGCUGGUUGAAUAAGCUGGCACCUUGACGGUACCUAACCAGAAAGCCACGGCUAACUACGUGCCAGCAGCCGCAGUAA